GCCAGUGUGGCGUAGUGGUUUGAGAAUUGGACUACAACUCUGGAGACCAGGGUUUGAUUCCCUGCUUGGCC
rnacentral:tRNA from 1 species